GAUGAACGCUGGCGGCGCGCCUAACACAUGCGAGUCGAACGAUUAAAGCACCUUCGGGUGUGUAUAAAGUGGCGAACGGCUGAGUAACACGUGGGCAACCUGCCCCUUUCAUUGGGAUAGCCACGGGAGACCGUGGAUAAUACCGAAUACUUCGAGACUUCCGCAUGGAAGACUCGAGAAAGCUCCGGCGGAGAGGGAUGGGCCCGCGGCCUGUUAGCUUGUUGGUGGGGUAACGGCCUACCAAGGCAAUGAUGGGUAGCUGGGUUGAGAGACCGACCAGCCAGAUUGGGACUGAGACACGGCCCAGACUCCUACGGGAGGCAGCAGUGGGGAAUCUUGCACAAUGGGCGAAAGCCUGAUGCAGCGACGCCGCGUGCGGGAUGAAGGCCUUCGGGUUGUAAACCGCUUUCAGCAGGGACGAGGCGAAAGUGACGGUACCUGCAGAAGAAGCCCCGGCUAACUACGUG
rnacentral:rRNA from 1 species